GUGCCCGCUUUGGCAGCACAUAUACUAAAAUUGGAAUGAUACAGAGAAGACUAGCAUGGCCCUUGUGCAAGGAUGACAUGCAAAUUCAUGAAGUGUUCCAUAUUUUU
rnacentral:snRNA from 1 species